UGGCACUAAAACCCUCAAAAUAAAAGAUCAGCGCUCCUCCGCCGCCCGGCCGCCGUUUCCGAUGGAUCCGUUAACCCUCCUCCGGGAAUACACCAUCAGCAACUCACUCGACCGAAUCGUCCGAGUCAACGACGAUUUCCGCUUCGGCUCCGACUACUCCUUCCCCGCCACCAUCGAGACCACCUACCGCUCCAAGCACGUGCAGCAGACGCGCCGCUACACCCUCGAAACCCUAGUCCACUUCAUCACCAACCACCACCUCAAGCACACCGAAUACAUCCAGAACGCCCGCGCCCUCCGCAUCCCCGCCGUCACUCUCCCCGAUCGGAAGCCGCUCCUCGAUUACCUCACCGGGAAAGUCCAAUCCUCCGAUUCAAUUGUCCCCCUCGAUUUCCCCAACAUUAACCCCCAAAUUAGCAACGUAGAUCGCAGCUUGCAGUACGAGGCGGGCGAUUCCGUGGGUUUGGACGGCGGGACUAGUUUGAUUGAGCUGAUUAGGGCGAAGGAGAGGCCAAUUAGGGAUAAAGAGGCAAUGCUGGUUUUCAAAAAACGUGAUUUCUACAGCGUGCUCACCUCGGCGUUGAAGAGGGAUGAGGAGAGACAGCGGAUGGAGGCGCUGCAGAGGAAGGAUAACAUUGUGGCGAAGAAUCGGAUUGAGAGUAGAGGGUUUGGUGUGGGUGAGGAGGCAACUAAGAUGCGGAAGAUUGGGGAAGGGGUUCCAAUCAUUUUGGUCCCAAGUGCAUUUUCGACUUUGAUCACAAUAUAUAAUGUGAAGGAGUUUUUGGAAGAUGGGGUUUUUAUUCCCACUGAUGUGAAGCUGAAGCAGAUGAAAGGGGGGAAGCCUGAUUGUGUGACGGUGCAGAAGAAGUUCAGUAGGGAUCGCGUGGUGACAGCUUAUGAGGUGAGGGACAAGCCCUCUGCGCUGAAGAGCGAUGAUUGGGAUCGUGUGGUUGCAGUUUUUGUGCUUGGGAAAGAGUGGCAGUUCAAAGACUGGCCUUUUAAGGACCACGUGGAGAUCUUUAAUAAGAUUCUUGGGUUCUUCAUGCGCUUUGAGGAUGACAGUGUGGAAUCAGCAAAAGUUGUGAAGCAGUGGAAUGUCAAGAUUAUUUCGAUAAGCAAAAAUAAGCGACAUCAGGACAGAGCUGCAGCUCUGGAGGUGUGGGAUAAACUUGAAGAAUUUAUGCGAUCUCGAUCUCGUUAGAGGGUCAGGGGGUUGGAAAAUGGAAACAAGGUUGCAUAGCUCAGGCAACAUCACGGACUAUGUGACCUGGAAUUGACAUGUUAAUUUAUAUGCAGAAGAUGAAACUAGAAACCAACAAAGAUUAUGACCAACUUGUUCAAUGUGGGAAACUUCCCCUGUGCUUGUGGAGGCAGAGCAGCAAUGUGAUCUGGUGUGAGGUUGAGCUUGUAAAUUCACCAUGCUUAUUCGAGUUGUCGUUUCUCAGUUUCUCAGUUGUUUUCAUGUUGUAGAUGAGUAUUGUUUAGGGGUAACAAUUUGGAAAUGAUAUCUAAUGCUGUUUAAUUUGUAUGUCUUCUCCUUCUUCUAAUGUUAGUUUUUAGAUGUAGUUUGUAUAAAACUAGAUUAUUUGAUUAACAGCAACUAUUAUGUUA